ACUCUAAGCGGUGGAUCACUCGGCUCAUGGGUCGAUGAAGAACGCAGCAAACUGUGCGUCAUCGUGUGAACUGCAGGACACAUGAACAUCGACAUUUUGAACGCAUAUCGCAGUCCAUGCUGUUAUGUACUUUAAUUAAUUUUAAGUGCUGCUUGGACUACAUAUGGUUGAGGGUUGUAAGACUAUGCUAAUUAAGUUGCUUAUAAAUUUUUAUAAGCAUAUGGUAUAUUAUUGGAUAAAUAUAAUAAUUUUUAUUCAUAAUAUUAAAAAAUAAAUGAAAAACAUUAUCUCACAUUUGAAUGUGAAAAACGAAGAGAAAUAUUUUCUUUUUCAAUCAAAUAAUACUGAGAAAUGUCUAGCAUAAAAAAUUGAAAUAUUUUUCAUCUAGAAUUGUCUCUUAUUAAUGAUUCGGAAAUAGAAAAAUCUUGGUUAUGUUAUUAUUCUUCGUUGGUUCGUUAAAAAUGGAUAAAUAAAAACUUUGCAUACAAGAAUUAAUAAAAAUGUUAUAACGAAUUUAAUUAAAUGUUUUAUCAUUAUAUAUAAAGAAUUUAUGGCAAGAUAAAGUUAUAUACAACCUCAACUCAUAUGGGACUACCCCCUGAAUUUAAGCAUAUUAAUUAGGGGAGGAAAAGAAACUAACAAGGAUUUUCUUAGUAGCGGCGAGCGAAAAGAAAACAGUUCAGCACUAAGUCACUUUGUCUAUAUGGCAAAUGUGAGAUGCAGUGUAUGGAGCGUCAAUAUUCUAGUAUGAGAAAUUAACGAUUUAAGUCCUUCUUAAAUGAGGCCAUUUACCCAUAGAGGGUGCCAGGCCCGUAUAACGUUAAUGAUUACUAGAUGAUGUUUCCAAAGAGUCGUGUUGCUUGAUAGUGCAGCACUAAGUGGGUGGUAAACUCCAUCUAAAACUAAAUAUAACCAUGAGACCGAUAGUAAACAAGUACCGUGAGGGAAAGUUGAAAAGAACUCUGAAUAGAGAGUUAAACAGUACGUGAAACUGCUUAGAGGUUAAGCCCGAUGAACCUGAAUAUCCGUUAUGGAAAAUUCAUCAUUAAAAUUGUAAUAUUUAAAUAAUAUUAUGAGAAUAGUGUGCAUUUUUCCAUAUAAGGACAUUGUAAUCUAUUAGCAUAUACCAAAUUUAUCAUAAAAUAUAACUUAUAGUUUAUUCCAAUUAAAUUGCUUGCAUUUUAACACAGAAUAAAUGUUAUUAAUUUGAUAAAGUGCUGAUAGAUUUAUAUGAUUACAGUGCGUUAAUUUUUCGGAAUUAUAUAAUGGCAUAAUUAUCAUUGAUUUUUGUGUUUAUUAUAUGCACUUGUAUGAUUAACAAUGCGAAAGAUUCAGGAUACCUUCGGACCCGUCUUGAAACACGGACCAAGGAGUCUAACAUAUGUGCAAGUUAUUGGGAUAUAAACCUAAUAGCGUAAUUAACUUGACUAAUAAUGGGAUUAGUUUUUUAGCUAUUUAUAGCUAAUUAACACAAUCCCGGGGCGUUCUAUAUAGUUAUGUAUAAUGUAUAUUUAUAUUAUUUAUGCCUCUAACUGGAACGUACCUUGAGCAUAUAUGCUGUGACCCGAAAGAUGGUGAACUAUACUUGAUCAGGUUGAAGUCAGGGGAAACCUGAUGGAAGACCGAAAAGUUCUGACGUGCAAAUCGAUUGUCAGAAUUGAGUAUAGGGGCGAAAGACCAAUCGAACCAUCUAGUAGCUGGUUCCUUCCGAAGUUUCCCUCAGGAUAGCUGGUGCAUUUUAAUAUUAUAUAAAAUAAUCUUAUCUGGUAAAGCGAAUGAUUAGAGGCCUUAGGGUCGAAACGAUCUUAACCUAUUCUCAAACUUUAAAUGGGUAAGAACCUUAACUUUCUUGAUAUGAAGUUCAAGGUUAUGAUAUAAUGUGCCCAGUGGGCCACUUUUGGUAAGCAGAACUGGCGCUGUGGAUGAACCAAACGUAAUGUUACGGUGCCCAAAUUAACAACUCAUGCAGAUACCAUGAAAGGCGUUGGUUGCUUAAAACAGCAGGACGGUGAUCAUGGAAGUCGAAAUCCGCUAAGGAGUGUGUAACAACUCACCUGCCGAAGCAACUAGCCCUUAAAAUGGAUGGCGCUUAAGUUGUAUACCUAUACAUUACCGCUAAAGUAGAUGAUUUAUAUUACUUGUGAUAUAAAUUUUGAAACUUUAGUGAGUAGGAAGGUACAAUGGUAUGCGUAGAAGUGUUUGGCGUAAGCCUGCAUGGAGCUGCCAUUGGUACAGAUCUUGGUGGUAGUAGCAAAUAAUCGAAUGAGACCUUGGAGGACUGAAGUGGAGAAGGUUUCGUGUGAACAGUGGUUGAUCACGAGUUAGUCGGUCCUAAGUUCAAGGCGAAAGCCGAAAAUUUUCAAGUAAAACAAAAUGCCUAACUAUAUAAACAAAGCGAAUUAUAAUACACUUGAAUAAUUUUGAACGAAAGGGAAUACGGUUCCAAUUCCGUAACCUGUUGAGUAUCCGUUUGUUAUUAAAUAUGGGCCUCGUGCUCAUCCUGGCAAGGAACGACACAUAAAGAAGCGUCGAGAGAUAUCGAAGAGUUUUCUUUUCUGUUUUUAU
rnacentral:rRNA from 1 species